CACCGCGCGCCUUGAUGGAGCCCAGGCGCGGGGACCCGAGAGGUUGAGGGAGUCUGGUGGCUAGAAAGCUCCCCCUGGGUGCUGACGGGAGAGCAGUAAACACAGUUGCAUCAGGAGAUUGUUCACGAAAAUACCCUGCGGUUUGCUUCCGUUGCUGCUUGUCAAACCAGGCUAGUUCUGCACUCCAAGAACCAAGCAGCCACAGGAAGAAGAACAGGAAACUCUGAGCAGAACGCGGUCCUGAAUGCUUAGCCACUGAGGCACAAGAAGCAGAGGCAGCUCUUGCUUGCUGCUCUGAUGAAGCAAGUUCCAUGAUGAGAGCCCACAUGGAUAGACCACUUGGAAAGGAACUGAGAAGGCCUAUAGGCAAAGCCUUGAGGAGCUGAGCCCCUUAGUCAAACACCCUUGAGAAAAUGAAGUCUCCUAACAACCAUAAGCCAUUGUUGGGGACAUUUCAGCUGGGUGUGUCCCCAAUCUCAUACUGGAGUGAGAAGGCUUAUUGAGGCUGCAUGGCUUCAGUACUUCUGCUCUGGACAUGACUCCACUCCCUAUGCUGGAUAUGGGUCUAGCUGGGUUGGUAGACUGCUACCACUUCUGAUGGUGGAGCUUUAGGGCUUCCCAAAUAUUCUGUAUUACGUCCAUGAUAGCUGGCAAAUCUUUCUUACCAACUUCUGUAGUCAUUGUUCUUCCUAUGUAUAAUUCAUGCCAAAUUAAACAGAUUAAUGUCAUUUGGAAUAUUUUUUUCUUAUUCAAAUAACAGCAUUGGAGUGAAGAUUAUGAAUAACAUCACAUUAAAACAAAAACAAGGACAUUGGAUAAGUGCACACUUGUUCUUAAACUAGUAGGUAAAUGGGGAGGGGCAUUAUGGCUCUGAAUUGAAAUGAAAGCUUUUCCUUAAAGAUAAAUGUGAAAAGAUAAAUCUAGUUUAAAGUAUAAUAAUAUUCUUAAAAGAAAUCUAGUGAGGAAGAAAAGCGAGAAAGGCAAAUUCAUUUCCUUGAUUUGGUAUACCAAAUACCUCAAAUUGUGUGGCUGAAAACAACAUAAAUGUAUUCUGCCACAUCCCUUCCCGUGGCGCCUAAGUGAGAAGUCCUUAGAGUUGGCAUGGUCAAGGUACGGGGCACACGGGAGGAAUACG